rnacentral:rRNA from 1 species
AUUGAACGCUAGCGGGAUGCUUUACACAUGCAAGUCGAACGGCAGCGCGGACUUCGGUCUGGCGGCGAGUGGCGAACGGGUGAGUAAUGUAUCGGAACGUGCCCAGUAGCGGGGGAUAACUACGCGAAAGCGUAGCUAAUACCGCAUACGCCCUACGGGGGAAAGCAGGGGAUCGUAAGACCUUGCACUAUUGGAGCGGCCGAUAUCGGAUUAGCUAGUUGGUGAGGUAACGGCUCACCAAGGCGACGAUCCGUAGCUGGUUUGAGAGGACGACCAGCCACACUGGGACUGAGACACGGCCCAGACUCCUACGGGAGGCAGCAGUGGGGAAUUUUGGACAAUGGGGGCAAACCUGAUCCAGCCAUCCCGCGUGUGCGAUGAAGGCCUUCGGGUUGUAAAGCACUUUUGGCAGGAAAGAAACGUCGCGGGCUAAUACCCCGUGGAACUGACGGUACCUGCAGAAUAAGCACCGGCUAACUACGUG